rnacentral:rRNA from 1 species
UACGAAGGGGGGCUAGCGUUGCUCGGAUUGACUGGGCGUAAAGGGCGCGUAGGCGGUUUGCACAGUCAGACGUGAAAUUCCUGGGCUUAACCUGGGGGGCUGCGUUUGAUACGUGCAGGCUUGAGUUCGGAAGAGGGUCGUGGAAUUCCCAGUGUAGAGGUGAAAUUCGUAGAUAUUGGGAAGAACACCGGUGGCGAAGGCGGCGACCUGGUCCGAUACUGACGCUGAGGCGCGAAAGCGUGGGGAGCAAACAGG